rnacentral:misc_RNA from 1 species
GCUAAAGCUUGUAGGUGAUGCCUCAAGAAUAAUUUUUUAUAGUUUUAUAUCUCUAAUGCAUCCCUGCACGUGCAUGUCCACUGGGCUUGAAGCAUGAACAAGCACAAACCUAAGGUAAAAACCUACUUUACCUUGAGAUAAUUUACUUGAUUAAUAAAUGGGUCACAUUUUGGUCUGAAAAGCUCUGAAACCAUAUCAAGAAACCACUCAAUUUAAAAGCAUAUGCUUGUAGAUGAGGGUCUCAAUAAUGGUUUUAUAUCUCUAAUACCUUCUUUAAAGUUCUGCCCAAGUGCUCAUCAUAGUUUCAACUAUUUUCGACAGUACCAAAAGUUAUCUCUGAACAAAAAAUAGCAGCCAGAAAUACCAACAUCCUAAAUCUCAUGCCAAGAUAUUCAGUUGGGAGAAGAUUCUUCUGGCCACCCACAACUUGAAUAUACUUUUGUGGAUAACCAAAACUAAUGAAGAUGUGCUCAAGCAGAUAGGACUGGCUAAUGUCCAUUGUAAAUUUUGCCCAGUAUAAUGGGAUCCUAAAGAUUUUAAGACAGCAAUAAGAAACUUGUUUACAAAGGAUAAGAAGAAGCCAAACAAACCUUU